rnacentral:tRNA from 1 species
GGGUCAUUAGCUCAACUGGCAGAGCAGCUGACUCUUAAUCAGCGGGUUCGGGGUUCGAGUCCCUGAUGACCCA